GGGCGUGAGGUUGGGUCUUCCUGGCCUCAUAACCCGGGAGUUGUGGGUUCGAAUCCCACCGGGGCCCCUCCA
rnacentral:tRNA from 1 species